GAGCCCUAACCCUGCAGCUCUGGGACAGGGACCCAGCCCAGGAUUCCCACGUGUUCUCAGUUCCUGCUGAGGACAGAACACAGACCACUCACCAUGGAGUUUGGGCUCAGCUGGGUUUUCUUUGUUGCUGUUUUAACAGGUGUCCACUGUGAAGUGAAGUUGGUGGAGUCUGGGGGAGGCUUGGUGAAGCCUGGGGGGUCUCUGAGACUCUCCUGUACAGCCUCUGGUUUCACCUUCAGUAGCUACUGGAUGAGCUGGAUCCGCCAGGCUCCAGGGAAGGGGCUGGAGUGGGUCUCAUACAUUAGUAGUAGCGAUAGUGCAUACUAUGCCAACUCCGUGAAAGGCCGAUUCACCAUCUCCAGAGACAAUGGCAAGAACGAGAUCUACCUACAAAUGAACAACCUAAGAACUGAGGACAUGGCCGUGUAUUACUGUGCAAGAGACACAGUGAGGGGAAGUCGCUGUGAGCCCAGACACAAACCUCCCUGA